rnacentral:rRNA from 1 species
AGAAUCAACGCUGGCGGCGUGCCUAACACAUGCAAGUCGCACGGGAAAGGGACUUCGGUCCUGAGUACAGUGGCGCACGGGUGAGUAACACGUGAAUCAUCUACCUCCGAGUGGGGAAUAACUGAGAGAAAUCUUAGCUAAUACCGCAUAACACUUACGAGUCAAAGCAGCAAUGCGCUUGGAGAGGAGUUCGCGGCAGAUUAGUUAGUUGGCGGGGUAAUGGCCCACCAAGACGAUGAUCUGUA